AGUGAACGCUGGCGGCGUGCCUAAUACAUGCAAGUCGAACGGAGAUUAAGUAGCUUGCUAUUUAAUCUUAGUGGCGCACGGGUGAGUAAUAUAUAGCUAACUUGCCCAUUACUAAGGGACAACAGUUGGAAACGACUGCUAAUACCUUAUACUCCGUAUCUAUAUAAGUAGAUACGGGAAAGUUUUUCGGUAAUGGAUAGGGCUAUAUCGUAUCAGCUAGUUGGUAAGGUAAUGGCUUACCAAGGCUAUGACGCGUAACUGGUCUGAGAGGAUGAUCAGUCACACUGGAACUGAGACACGGUCCAGAAUCCUACGGGAGGCAGCAGGAGGGAAUAGUGCUCAAUGGGGGAAACCCUGAAGCAGCAACGCCGCGUGGAGGAUGACACUUUUCGGAGCGGAAACUCCUUUUCUUGGGAAAGAAUUAUGACGGUACCCAAGGAAUAAGCACCGGCUAACUCCGUG
rnacentral:rRNA from 1 species